UGGAAGUAAAAGUCGUAACAAGGUUUCCGUAGGUGAACCUGCGGAAGGAUCAUUACCUAGAGUUGCGGGCUUUGCCUGCCAUCUCUUACCCAUGUCUUUUGAGUACCUUACGUUUCCUCGGCGGGUCCGCCCGCCGACUGGACAAUUUAAACCACUUGCAGUUGCAAUCAGCGUCUGAAAAAACUUAAUAGUUACAACUUUCAACAACGGAUCUCUUGGUUCUGGCAUCGAUGAAGAACGCAGCGAAAUGCGAUAAGUAGUGUGAAUUGCAGAAUUCAGUGAAUCAUCGAAUCUUUGAACGCACAUUGCGCCCCUUGGUAUUCCAUGGGGCAUGCCUGUUCGAGCGUCAUUUGUACCUUCAAGCCUUGCUUGGUGUUGGGUGUUUGUCUCGCCUCUGCGCGUAGACUCGCCUCAAAACAAUUGGCAGCCGGCGUAUUGAUUUCGGAGCGCAGUACAUCUCGCGCUUUGCACUCAGAACGACGACGUCCAAAAGUACAUUUUUACACUCUUGACCUCGGAUCAGGUAGGGAUACCCGCUGAACUUAAGCAUAUCAAUAAGCGGAGGA
rnacentral:rRNA from 1 species